GGGCCUGGCCUUGGCCCGAGGCUGCCCUGCCGGCUCAUACCUAUUCCUGCGGGAGGCAAGCCUCCGCCUGGCCCACUGCCACAGGCACGCCCCGGCCCCACCUGUGGAGGGAACAAACCUUUCCUCUGGUCAGAAGUGGGGAGAAAGGGGACACAGGCAGGGGCCCGGCAGGACCCGGUGAUGACAGGCUGUCAGGCUCGCUGCAAGUGACCAGGCCCUCGGAACGAGGCAUGGCACAGGCAGAUGGGGCCCCCUGCCCCGGCACCGCCCCGAGCCAGGGAAGGAGUUUGCCGAGAGCAAGGGGCUGCUGUUCAUGGAAACCUCGGCCAAGCUGAACCACCAGGUGACCGAGGCCUUCGGCGCCAUUGCCCAGGAGCUUUGGCGCAGAGAAGAGAGGAAGGAGGACCAGCAGCAGCAGAGAGACGCACAGCUGGAUCUGAACCAGAGGCCCUCGGGGCAGGCCAGAUGCUGCGCCCGCUAGAAGCAGCCUCUCCAGGAGGGGCCGUGGGGAGGAGGCCCCCAGCCCGGGCCCUGCCCGCUCCGUGUUGACCAGAUACUUAUCCCGAUUCGCCGUCGAUGCUGGCUUGUUCCUGAGUCCCGGCGGCUCUGGAAGCUGGCAUCCCCCUGAAUUACCUCCUCCCAGAGCUGGCGGGAAUCCUUCAAGCCAAGGGCCCAUAUCCAGUGGCUCCAGAGGGUGUCGGCCCCCUGUCCCCCAGACGCCAGAUACAGACUGAACCUCGGAGGCCCAGGAUGUGGCCCCUCGGCUGCCUGGCCAUCAGACACCAAGGGUUGAAACGGUCGGAGGCAAAGCGAGAGUGGGAAAACUACCCUCACCCAGCACGUAUUUGGUGUCGGGCAGGAACUUGCCCCCAGAGGUGGAAAAGGACAGAGCAGGCCCAGGUGGAGCUGGCAGUGCCAGGGAGAGGUGGAGGGAUGGUCGCGGGGCUGGGCCCAUCGUCACUGGAUCUCUGUGAGGUCCCCCAGCAGCACAGAGGGCAACUGGGGUGGGGGUGGGGUGCCAGGCCCCUCCCCUCUGAUGAAAUGAUGCUUAUGGGCAUGAGGACUCAGGCUGUCCGCCCGAGGGGUACGUUGUACCGUGUAGGCGUUUUUCUCCAAAAAGUAAACCUUUCUCUAUCCCGUGGUCUUUGGUAGUUGGUACCAUGGGGGAUUGUUCCCGCAUGUCCUCUGGGGGGGUUUGUGAUGAGUAGAUAACAGGGACCCAGGCGGGGCACAGGACACCUUCGUGAUGCUGACAUGCCAUUAUGUGCUCGCCUCCUUUCUGCCUUAGAGAGAGGCCCCCAUGGCCCUUCUGGGAGGUGGGCCAGCGGCCAUGUGAAGGUGGCUGCUGUGCGAGGUGAUGCUGGUUUCGGCCCCUGAGACUGAUGCAGAGGGAUGGAGUUUUAAACGAGACGAUGUUAUCCCUCUGAAAAAGGGGCUUUCGCUGUGGCAGCUGUGAGCAUCAACAGGACACCUGCGAGGCAUCCUUCCCCUGGGCGCCUAGCUCCUUGACGUCCACACGGCGCUCCCAUGGCAUCUGUCUUAGACACUUUCCAGGUGACGCCUGACACCUGACUGCUGCAGUUUCUGGCUGCAGUCAGGUUUUUCAUACGGCGGUUCCCUCGUGGAUGAAGUUCGCGAGGUGUGAGCCUGUGUUACCGUGCUGGGUCCUCGUGCUCUCUACACUCAAUUCCUCGUAGCAGGUCUGUGACCGCCCCCCGCCCCCCCCACCGCAAAGGGCAGGACCCACUUAGGAGGCUGAGGUUGCCCUUGGCCGCGAGGUGGCGCUGCAGUAUCGCUGAAGGCGAAGCCCACGGCUCCCGGAGUUUGGGUCAGCUUUACGCCCCGGAUGACGCAAGGCUUUGAGGGAGUUUCUCCUGUGUUGAAGAGGACAUAGGAAAUGGGGAAAUAAUGGUAUCUAGAGGAUGCCCAUAUAUCUGAUUGCUUUCCUCCCGUCUUGUCAGGCCAGGAUCACUGUGCUACAAUUUAUUAUUAAAGCAUCCUUCCAUCCUCGCCACGGGGCACCCUUUCAGUCCCAUCCCCCCAAGGUGGGAUGGGGUGCCUCGUGGUGCCGGAGCUUGGGUUCCCCGUCGCCUGGGAGUGACUGCCCCUUUCCUUCCCCUCCUCCCCCACGAGGCAGGUGGGGCUCAAUCCUGCCCUGGAAUCACCUGGGAGCCUCCACAGGCAGCAUCUCCGCACCCACCAGAGGCUCUGGCUGAUCCGUCUGCAGCGCGGCUUGGGCCCUGGGAGUUGUAGCCCUCCCGUGACCUAAUCCUCAGAGAUGGGGGGCUUUGCCAUGAGGGCAGGGGUUCCGUCUGUCCUGCCUCCUGUGGGCUUCCCGGUGCCUGUACAAUGUCUGGGACUGGCCAGGCACUUGACAAACACGUCCCACGAGAGGACAAAAUCCAAUUUUCCCAGCGAUGUAAAGAAAAGGCAGGUUUUUCUAGAAAGUCUCCAGCCCCCAACCCCCCACAGACGUUCGUGGGAGCCUCUCUCUGUGUCAGUGCUUCACCACCGGAUCUCGGAUCUCGGCCCAUCCUGGGCCCGAGGGGCGGGGCUGGGGCUGGGGCUGGGGCUGGGGCCUGGCGGGAGGGGUUGGCAGGUGUUCAGGGUAGAUUCUUCAGGAUAAAUGGUCCUGGGGGAGGCUGGCCUGGGAACUCCCGGUCCUUCCCGCAGCCGGGGAAGCUGCGUCAACUUUUCUCACCAGCUGGUGUGUGUAUGUGAGCGCGCAUGCGCGCACGUGUAUGCACAUGCGUGUGCGCGCACAAGUGUAGGUGUGUGUGCACAUGUGUAGGUGCGCACGCGUGUGCUCGUGGUGGAGGCACAGAGAGGUUGAGAAGCGGCGUCUGGGACAACCAGCUGUCUUGGCUGUGACCGUUUCCUUUCUCACCCCUCCAUUUCUAGUGCCUUCUCCAGCCGACCCCCGACCCCAUCCCGGAAGAGCCCCCUUUGCCCAGAGGGGCAAACGGGGGAAUCCAUUCUUUUUCUUUUAAAACUUAUUCCCUUUUGGGGGGUCUCAUGGCCAAAUUUAGGACAAUUUGAGCAUCAACAAUGAUUUGUAAGGUUUUGAACAAAAAGGAGAAAACAGGACGUGAAAGGCAGGGAGAGAACUAUUCCUUUAGAGGAAUCCCACUCAUAAACGUGGGAGGAAUGAGAGAAGCCCUGCUGCGCGACCCCACGGGACCCCCAGCGGGGUGUACGUCACUGGCGGUGAGCUCUUUGGGGAACAGGCUACUGUCACGGGCCCCUGAACCUCUGCCGAGGGUGUCAUGAGCAGAUGAGGAAACCGAGAGACUUUUACAGUCCAGGGAUCCUCUCAGCUGAAGGCCCCGACUUGUCACCUGGUGGAUGCGAUGCGACAGGAAAGACACAGAGCAUUGGUGCCCUCGGUGAUACCGAAUCUAGCCCUGCCCCUAGAGCCACCACUCAGCCGAUGGGAAACACGGGCACAGAGGAACAAUGGAGCAGCACCGUGGGGGGCAGUCAACAAGCCCCACACACGCCAACCGUCCUACAAGGUACCGUCUGGUCUCUGGUGAAAGUCAAUGUUGGGACAAAAUAAGAUGAUGAGGGACCGAUGAGAACCAACUAACCGCAGCCCUGAAUUGGGACUGGAGCCUGAAAAACAAGAAAGACAACUAAGAUUUUCUUGCCAUAUUUGGGAUUUUUUUUGGAGUAUGAACUAAAAACUAGAUCGUAUUAUGGAUUUAUUACGAAAUGUUUUAGGCAUGAUAAUAAUUGUGUGGUUAGACAGGAGAUUGUUCUCAAUUUGAGGAGAAAGAUGCUGAAGUCUCUUGGGGACAUUGGAUAUCCCCAACUUACAUCCCAACGGGAGAGAGAGGGAAGGGGGGAGGGGGGCGAAGGCAACUGCCGUGAUUAUCUUGGGAUCUAAGUGGAAGGUAUGCGGAUGUCACUGCAAUAUUUUUUGAACUUCCUGGUAUGUUUGAAAACGUUCAUAAGAAGUUGUAGGAGACAUAAAAUCUUCCACCUCUGUGCUUCUGGGCUCAGAAGAUGCGUUAGUUUCCCGGGGCUGCCCUGACAGGGUACCACGGUCCCGGUGGCUGGACCUGGGGCCUCUGCCACACUGAUGACGCCACGCCUGCAUCACGCAGGGCUGCAAACUCUUGUUUAAAGCGAUCAGCUGAGUGGCGUUCAGCACCUCCACCACCUCGGUCCAUUCCCCAGACACGUUCAUCCCCCAGAAGGAAACCCGGUACCCCUGGAGCGGCCCCCCCGCGCCGGCAAGCCCCCACCUGCUCUCUGUCUCCAUGGAUUUGCCUUGUCUGGACCUUGCGGAGAAAUGGAAUCUUACACUGUGCAACCUUACGUGUCUGGCUUCUUCUACUUUGCAUCGCGUUUUCAAGAUUCACCCACGUGGGAGCAUGUGGGCAAACUUUGUUCCUUUUCAUGGCCCAACAAGAUCCCAUUGUAGGGACAGACCACGUGUAGUCUAUCCAUUCGUCUACCCAUGGGUAUUUUCUCCCUUUUUGGAUGUUGAGAAUUGUGCUGCUGUGAACGUUGCUGUGCACGUA
rnacentral:lncRNA from 1 species